UACGGAGGGUGCGAGCGUUGUCCGGAAUCACUGGGCGUAAAGGGCGCGUAGGUGGCGCGGGCAGUCAACGGUGAAAGUUCGGGGCUCAACCCUGAAUCGGCCGUCGAUACUCCCGUGCUUGAGCACUGUAGAGGCAGAUGGAAUUCCGGGGUGUAGCGGUGGAAUGCGUAGAGAUCCGGAAGAACACCGGUGGCGAAGGCGGUCUGCUGGGCAGUUGCUGACACUGAGGCGCGACAGCGUGGGGAGCAAACAGGG
rnacentral:rRNA from 1 species